rnacentral:rRNA from 1 species
AUUGAACGCUGGCGGAAUGCUUUACACAUGCAAGUCGAACGGCAGCACGGGGGCAACCCUGGUGGCGAGUGGCGAACGGGUGAGUAAUACAUCGGAACGUGCCCAGUCGUGGGGGCUAACGUAGCGAAAGUUACGCUAAUACCGCAUACGAUCUACGAAUGAAAGCGGGGGACCGUAAGGCCUCGCGCGAUUGGAACGGCCGAUGUCAGAUUAGGUAGCUGGUGAGGUAAAGGCUCACCAAGCCGACGAUCCGUAGCUGGUCUGAGAGGACGACCAGCCACACUGGGACUGAGACACGGCCCAGACUCCUACGGGAGGCAGCAGUGGGGAAUUUUGGACAAUGGGCGCAAGCCUGAUCCAGCCAUUCCGCGUGCAGGACGAAGGCCUUCGGGUUGUAAACUGCUUUUGUACGGAACGAAAAGGCUCUGGUUAAUACCUGGGGCUCAUGACGGUACCGUAAGAAUAAGCACCGGCUAACUACGUGCCAGCCGCCGCCGUAA